rnacentral:rRNA from 1 species
AAUGGGGGAAACCCUGAUGCAGCGAUGCCGCGUGAGUGAAGAAGGCCUUUGGGUUGUAAAACUCUUUCGUCGGGGAAGAAAAUGACUGUACCCGAAUAAGAAGGUCCGGCUAACUUCGUGCCAGCAGCCGCGGUAAUACGAAGGGACCUAGCGUAGUUCGGAAUUACUGGGCUUAAAGAGCUCGUAGGUGGUUAAAAAAGUUGAUGGUGAAAUCCCAAGGCUCAACCUUGGAACUGCCAUCAAAACUUUUUAGCUAGAGUGUGAUAGAGGAAAGUGGAAUUUCUAGUGUAGAGGUGAAAUUCGUAGAUAUUAGAAAGAACACCAAAUGCGAAGGCAACUUUCUGGGUCACUACUGACACUGAGGAGCGAAAGCAUGGGUAGCGAAGAGGAUU